GGCGAGUGAAGCGGCAACAGCUCAAAUUUGAAAUCUGGCUCUCGGGCCCGAGUUGUAAUUUGUAGAGGAUGCUUUUGGUGAGGUGCCUUCCGAGUUCCCUGGAACGGGACGCCAUAGAGGGUGAGAGCCCCGUCUGGUUGGACGCCGAACCUCUGUAAAGCUCCUUCGACGAGUCGAGUAGUUUGGGAAUGCUGCUCUAAAUGGGAGGUAUAUGUCUUCUAAAGCUAAAUACCGGCCAGAGACCGAUAGCGCACAAGUAGAGUGAUCGAAAGAUGAAAAGAACUUUGAAAAGAGAGUUAAACAGUACGUGAAAUUGUUGAAAGGGAAGCGCUUGUGACCAGACUUGGGCUUGGUUGAUCAUCCGGGGUUCUCCCCGGUGCACUCUUCCGGCCCAGGCCAGCAUCAGUUCGCCCUGGGGGAUAAAGGCUUCGGGAACGUGGCUCUCUCCGGGGAGUGUUAUAGCCCGCUGCGUAAUACCCUGUGGCGGACUGAGGUUCGCGCAUUCGCAAGGAUGCUGGCGUAAUGGUCAUCAGUGACCCGUCUUGAAACACGGACCAAGGAGUCGUCUUCGUAUGCGAGUGUUCGGGUGUCAAACCCCUACGCGAAAUGAAAGUGAACGCAGGUGAGAGCUUCGGCGCAUCAUCGACCGAUCCUGAUGUUAUCGGAUGGAUUUGAGUAAGAGCAUACGGGGCCGGACCCGAAAGAAGGUGAACUAUGCCUGUGUAGGGUGAAGCCAGAGGAAACUCUGGUGGAGGCUCGCAGCGGUUCUGACGUGCAAAUCGAUCGUCAAACAUGGGCAUGGGGGCGAAAGACUAAUCGAACCUUCUAGUA
rnacentral:rRNA from 1 species